AGGACGAACGCUGGCGGCGUGCUUAACACAUGCAAGUGGAGCGACGAACCAGGGCUUGCCCUGGGGCAAAGCCGCGAACGGGUGAGUAACACGUGGGUAACCUGCCCCGAUGACCGGGACAACCCGAGGAAACUCGGGCUAAUACCGGAUGACUCCUUCAAGCUCAAGCCUGAAGGGAAAGGAGCUUCGGCCUCCGCAUUGGGAGGGGCCCGUGGCCCAUUAGCUUGUUGGUGAGGUAACGGCUCACCAAGGCUGCGAUGGGUAGCUGGUCUGAGAGGACGAUCAGCCACACUGGGACUGAGACACGGCCCAGACUCCUACGGGAGGCAGCAGUGGGGAAUCUUGCGCAAUGCGCGAAAGCGUGACGCAGCAACGCCGCGUGGGGAAGAAGGCCUCGGUUGUAACCCUUCAGGAGGACGAAGGCGUGGCGGUGAAUAGCCGACCGUACUGACGGUACCUCCACAAGAAGCCCGGCUAACUACGUGCCAGCAGCCGC
rnacentral:rRNA from 1 species